GCGAUUUUCCUUGUGCCUCGGUGCGCAUCGCACCAUUGCGCGCCUAUGGCGCGCUUUUUUUAACUAAGGUUGUACCUAAACUGAAUAGAUCGUCUAUUUGCAAUAACCACUUGUUUACAAUCAAAUAAGGUAAUACCGUCUUAACACUUGUUGAAUUAAUAUCAUUCGAACAAAGCUAGACAUAGGGGCUUAGUUACUUAUGUUGAAUAAAUAUUUGCUCAGAACCGAGUAGCAAGCAGAGUUAUUAAAGGAGAGUUCAAUCAGGUUUUGCUCAUUUGAUUUCAGUCUCUCAUCAUCUUGUUAUUAAAGAACUAGAUAAGAUGCGUAAUUUGACUUGUUAUUGAGUGUCUGUAUUUGUGAACAUUGAAAUUUUAAGAUGUCUUUUUGUUCUGUACAGGCAGUGUAUUGAGUGGUGGUGGGAUUGCUCGACUUCCUAAGGCAAGUGUUCUAGUUAGUCGUUUGGAAAUUCCUAUGAUAUAUGGCAUUGAUGCCAUUCACGAGCAUGAUAAUGUCUAUAACGCUACUAUUUUCCCUCACAAUGUUUGUCUUAGAGCCACCAGGCACGUAUUAGCUGAUAUGUUUCUUUGAUUUUGCAUAUUCGAGCUGGAAUGGUGAGAAGAUGCAUGCAAAUACUUAUCACAGGGUAUCUUAAGGGUAGCCUUAAGUUUAAGAAUAUGAUUACUGGAGCGGCACAAAAAUGGAUGGUGGAAUUCUUGUGGUUUUAGGUCCAGAUGGACCCAUGCCACAGACAAAAGAACAUAUCCUACUUACACGCCAGGUUGGUAUUUCCUCACUUGUGUGCUUCUUGAACAAAGUUGAUGUGGUGGAUGAUCCUAAGCUGUUGGAGCUUGUCGAGAUGGAACUACGAGAACUCCUCAGCUUCUACAAUUUUCCUGGGGAUGAUAUUCCCAUCAUCCGAGGAUCUGCUUGUACGCAUUACAAGGCACCAAUGAUGAAAUUGGAAGGCAAGCUAUAUUAAAGCUAAUGGAUGCUGUUGAUGAAUACAUACCUGACCCUGUUCGCGUGCUUGACAAGGCUUUCUUGAUGCCAAUUGAAGAUGUUUUCUCAAUUCAAGGACGUGGAACUGUUGCAACCGGUCGUAUUGAAUAGGGAACCAUUAAAGUGGGUGAAGAAGUUGAGAUAUUGGGUUUACGUGAGGGGCUUCCACUGAAAUCGACUGUAACUGGAGUUGAGAUGUUCAAGAAUAAAGCCAAUAUCAAGAGAUUACAAAUAAAAGUUGUGGGCAUGUAAGAUACUGAUUAAACCUUGGCUUCUAUUAUGCUAGGCUGGUGACCAUGUAGGGCUUCUUUUGCGGGGGCUAAAGAGAGCAGACAUUCAGCGUGGAAUGGUGAUUGCUAAGCCUAGUUCAUGCAAGACAUACAAAAAGUUUGAAGCAGAGAAUUACGUGCUCACAAAUUAAAUUCUUCCUUAGUGUUUUAUUAUUUCGGAUUGGCAAGGUGUUGAUAAGAUUUCCUCACCACCGCAUACACACUACACAGCUUCCGUCCGAGCUGCAAUUCAAGCUGGUCAUUGUCCCUAUCUUAUGUCCUUGGUGAAGAACAAAGCAAUUCCUAUCACUCGGAUUGAUGAUGCUGUCGGAAGAUUCCUGCUUGUCAAGUUCACCAUGGGUCUUUUUGAGAACCCUUUGGCUGAUUACAGUUUUAUCCAAUGAAUUAGGAAUCUGUUGCAAGUACUACUACAAAAUCUUGAUGGAAUGUUCUUAAUUUCUAUUAGGCACACAGAGACUUGGCAAAGGGGGCUGUUAUAAAAUCCUUUGUGCUGCUGAAAAACGGGAACAAAACCAAUCCUAUGCUCCCACUUCCCAGGAACACUUCAAACUUUUUAUUUCGCAGUGAUCUGCAGUUAUUUAGAACAAUCCUACAAGAUUCACCGCAGUAGCACCAGGCCCGGCUCUAUACAUGUGCCCUAGGUGCUCAUGCACAGGGUCCUUGUAAUUUUGUGUCUUCUAUCAUAACUAAAUUUACUAAAAUUAGGGUCCAAAAUUUUUUUUCUUUUGUAAUUUUUUUUCAGCUCAGGGUCCUUAAAUUUUUUGAGCCGGCCCUGAGUAGCACCAUUAAAUCAUUUUUUAUGUAAGGCUUUUGUUUUUUGGCGUCAAAUAUUUAUGUUAGGACAUCUUUUGAUUUGUACCUAUAUUUUGUUGCUAAGAUAUCCACAGAAUUCACAAGGAUGGCAUGAACCUUUGAUGUACCCAUUUAGUCAGCAACCUUGACGUACAUUGGGUAUAAUUGAUAUUACAGAUUGCGGCGGUGUGGAAGUUUCUUCACGGGUCGAAAGGAAUAGUUGUAUUACAGACGAAAAAUGGCUUUGUCGUGCAGUAACAUCAGAAUUGAAGAAAACUACAGGAGAUUUUGCUGAAGGAGCUUGGGCUGGUGCUGCCCAUUAUCUCCUCUGGUAUAUGCUUGCAAGCCACGUAAGCGUCUCUUGUACAUAUAACUCUUCUUAAUUAGGUUUUGAGACAUUUA